rnacentral:lncRNA from 1 species
AAUGGAUGAAUAUGGCUUAUACAACACUACUGUUAAAAAUAAAACUUAGCAAGAUGUAAAAAGAUGUAAGAAACAAUGUAUAAGUUUCAAAGUCAAGGCUAAAAAAAGUUAUAAAAGUAUAUGCAUGUACGAUAACACUUACAUAGUUGAAAAUACAGAACAACAGCAUACAUUACAUAAGCAUGAGUGGGAAAGAUGCAUUAUAGAAUAAUUAUGUCUAGAAAAAGAAAAAUAAGGAGCACAGAAUGGAAGUUUAAAAGUUUUAAAGAAAAAAACAACUAGGAGAAAUGUAACAAAUUUUAUCUUUCUUGAUGAGUAUGUGGGUGUUUGUUUCUGUCUUUUUUUCCUUGCCCCCAACCAACUUUGGAAAAUCUGAAACUUAGAGAAAAGUACAGUUCAAAGAACUUAAUUCUUAAACUAUAUCCUAUGAUAACUAUGUCAGUAUUUUAUCCAAACAUAUUCUUCAGUGCAACCAUCAGAAUUAGUAUUGGUGUUUGUUUGUGUGUUUUGUUUGUUUGUUUGUUUAAAAGAACCGCACCUGCGACAUGCAGAAGUUCCCAGGCCAAGGGUUGAAUUGGAGCUGGCCUACGCCACACCACAGCAGCACAGGAUCCAAGCAGUAUGUUCGAUAUAGACCAUAGCUCUGGGCAACGCCAGAUCCUUAACCCACUCGGUGAGGCCAGGGAUUGAACCUGCAUCCUCAUGGACACUAGUUGGGUUUGAACCACAAUGGGAACUCCAAGUAUUAAGGAUUGGUGCUAAUUUUCCAUCUAAUACCUCAACUCCGCUGAGGUUUGAGCACUGCCUAUUACUUGUUUGCAUUCACAAGAAGCCAGUCUAGACUCUCAUGAGCAUUUAAUUGUUGUCUUUUUGUCUUUGAUUUAGUCAGCUUUCAUUUACUUUCAUGACCUUGACAGUUUUAAUGACGACAGGACGCUAUUUGCAGAGUGUUUGGGGGAAGUAUAAUGAAAAACAAUCGCCUCCCAACUCGGACAACCUCUCUACAAGGCUAGACAGAGGAAAGUUUGAGUUUUAUUAUUGAAAAAGCAUUAAACAAGAAUGUGAUAGCAGAGAUGGAAGAGACAGAAAUAACUCUCAUACUGGGACAUCGUCAAGCAGACAGAAUCCAUCACAUGCACCUUCUCAAGGCCAACAAUGACCUCGUCCUUAAGUAAGGAGCCUUGAUGAGGCCAUGUGUUACAUGUAGUCCAUCCCCAGUUCACUUGGUUGUGGAGAGGACCAUCUGUCUGCUAAAAGGUUUUAUCCACAGAAAAAUCAUUGUUAAGCAGGUGGUGGUUUUGUAACUUAAAACAAGCCUUGCUACUCCCCUAUAGACACUGGGGAGCUAGGGAAGUAUCUUCCUUGAUGGUUGGCACUUCAGAUCUUGAGAAAGAUACUCCUGGCUCUGUCACACUGGCAAGAGGCUUACGUAGCUUUUUUUAAUUAUUUAUUUAUUUUUUUUAAAAAAACAAAAACAAAAACAAAAAAAAACAUUUCAAAGAGACAGAGAACUAAGAAUUAAAUUUGUUCUUCAGGUAGGUGUCCUAAGGAAGUGGAGGAGGGUCUUAAGACAAAAAAGGAGAAUUUUUUCUGUAGAUGGGUAUUGGCACUUAAAAUUGCUCCUUUGGUUGCUAUAAAAUAGUAACAUAACAAACAUGCAAAUUUCUAAUUAACUCCACUGCUUUUUACACCUUUCUCUGGGCAAGUUUGUAGCUCUCUCAUAUUCUGUAGGUCCACUGUAAAAGACAAAGCAAUUGUCAGAAUUAUGAUGGGGAAAAAAAAAACCCAGAAUGAGUAAAUUUUUAAUAAGACAGUAUGUUAUUUGCUUGGAGGAAUGACCUUUGAAUAAAUUGUGCCCAUGCCGAAUGGUUAAAUCAGAUAUUUGAUGAGCAAUGCACAAAAAUUAUGCUUAGUGAUACAUGAAUUUUACAAAUUGGCAUGAUGUCUUUAUUGCUCACAUUUUCAAAUGAUUCACUAUCUGAGAGCAUGAGUUAGUUCUUUAUGAAGUUUUAUCCAAUCCAAGCCUUUGGAGUGGCUAAACUCUAGGGGGCUGAUGCUCUAAAUUUUUAAUUAAGAGCUUUUCUUGCAAGGCCCAAUAAAUUUCUCCUGAAUUUCAUUUAGAGACAUUAAGUACCGUCAUAUUUAUAUGAUUCAGAAUAGUUCCCAGAGAGCCUAUCCUCAAAAACUUUCCCAGUUAGGAAAUGCAAGAUACCCUUGGGUCACCUGGUAUCAAAAUAUUAGUAGAAGACACCCAUCGAAAGGUACAGACUGAAAUUCCAUUGUUGGAUGUAUAUUGUAAUAGGUAUUAUCCUAAUGCACAUUAAAUCCACUCAAUGGAGCUUAUAUAUAUAGAUACAUUUUUUUAUCUUAGAUUUAAAUCAAUAAUGAUGAUGACAGUUGACUAAAUCUCCAUGGGUUUAUCUGUCUAUAUUGUGACUGGCUGAGAAUUUUGCAUCCCAAAGUUAAUGGAGUGCCAUUAGAACCAUCUUCCAAAGUCUAAGUGCCAGAUUUCCAUGUCUGUUAUUUAAAUUAUUUUCGUACCUACACCAUCCUUCUAAGAAAACUAAGCAACAAAACUUUUGUGUUAAAUUUAGGGCUUAAGAACUUGAAAGCAUAUUACUGACUUAAACUUGAUGACCAAAAAUUACUCACGACAGGAGUUGUGCGUGUAUUCUGUCAAUCACAUUGCUGGAUUCUGAAAUCCAGAAUCUGUUCAUACUGGGAGUCGAGUUUGAAGGUGAUGAGAAAUAACAAUGAUAAACCAUUCUUUGGUGGAAGAAGUGGGAGGUAAGAUGUACCAUGUUUUUGCUAGUAAAAGAUGGUUAUUAAUGUAGUUGAAAUAACCCUGCUGUGAGUGGGGACAGCAGGACAGUUGGCGAAAGCAGAAAUAAGUGGGCUAGCAUAUGACCUUCCAGCCAAGUGCAGCACCAAUGGCAAUUCCUCAAAAGCUGAAGUUUCCAAGUCCACCUCAGGAAGGAUGGAUCCGGCUGUUUGGCCAUGACUUUGACAGCCCUGUGUCAAUCCGCACCACUUGAAAGUGCCUCUGAGCACAGUGACAGUCCGUCUUUCCUGCGGAGCUUUUUUUUAUAUAGAUAAGAUACGCCAGUGGAGCUGGAGGACUUCUUCCCGUGGGUCUUUGCAGGUCAUGAUGACUUUAUCUGAGCUCUAGGGAAGAGAGGAACCCUCCGAAGAGUUAAACGUGAUUAUGGAGGCAUUCAGGGAGAUUAAUCCCAGGAAGUUGUCUCAGACCCUACUUCAUAAACCUGCCACCUAAGUUCAAAGGGAGAGAUUGAUGCUUGCUUGAAGCAAUGCCUUUUUUUUUCCCCCUCCUCAGAAGACAGUGGUAAAGCUCUAAGCCAUUUUAGUUGGAUAGAUUGCAUUAUCAAUGACUGUUUUUUUCUUUUCUUUUCUUUUUUUUGGAGAGGUUGAUGAGUUGACCAGGAAGGAUGGGCUGUGCUACCUUAAAAGUAGCUUAUAAAAAAAUAAGCUAAUAACACAUCUCUUUAACAUACCUAGAGCAGUCUUUUCUGAUUUUAAAGAGUCGAGUGUCUUUAAAAAACCCUCUUUUAAAUGAUUUUGUGAUUGCAUGGCAGUGCUGUUCAAGCAAAUAAAAAUCUUUGUACAGGAAUUACUUUGUUAGAUGAUUUCCAUUCUAUUCAGAUUUCUUUUAGCCUAUUUCAUAAUCCACUUGUGUAUUUUUUUGUGUGCACAGUAUAUUUAGGAAAGGGAACAAACAUUUCUUGUACUACAGGUAGAGCUUGUCCAUUUGCAAUCUGCCAUCUUUUAAUAGAAAAAACUUUUUUGCUCUGUCAGCAAAGUGAAUUACUCAUACCUGAUUAGGCACUUGGGAAGUCUCUGAUAAAGCAGUUACAAUUUUUCUUUGAGAUAUUUGGUUACUAUUAAAGUAAAAAUGCUGUGUGACAUACUAAACAUAUAUACACAUAAUAAACAACUGUGUGCAUAUAUACCUACAUGUGUAUGUAUUCAUUUGAAGAGCAUGGUCAAAAGUUGAUGCUCUGAAAACUUCUGUUGACUUGGAUUUAGCUCUUGGAUAAUGACCACAGCAUAGGAAGCCUUAAUUUGGCCACUUUUAUAUCAAGUAACCUGGCAUAUUAGAAGACAUGAAAUAGGCAAUAUGAAGAGGAAUAUUAGAUAAAUCAUGUUAAGUUCUCAAAAUUUUUGGAAUUUCCUAAACCAAUGACGAAGGUAGAGUCAAUUGCAGUUGUGGAAAAUGUUUAUAUAUUCCAGGGGCCCAAGCCAGAGGAUAUGGAGAAGGUGGGAGGAAUGGAAGAGGGGGAGAACAGAAGGACAGGUAGAAGAUAGAUGAAUUACAGAGAGAACCUUUCCAGACAAAGGUAUUCAGGUCAGAAAGUUGGAGAUAAAGGAACUAAAGGGAUUAAUGGGACAACAAGAUACUGAGCUGUCACUUGUCUCUGGAUAUUCAGGAGACAGACUUAGGGGAUGUGUGUAGCUACACUUAUUUUCAUAGUACAUAACUGAAAUGAAGAUGAUGAAGUUACACUGUCAUCUCCCAGUUGUAAUGCAGUAACACAGGGUGUACAUUUGUUCUUUUUGUAUAUGUUACAUUUUUAUACUUGGCAAGUUUUGAAAAAAUGAGAAUUGUAUAACAUUGAUAAGUGUACAGUGUAAUGGCUUGAUAGCAUGUAUAUACUGUAAACCACAGUAAAGUAACAUCUAUCACCAAAUACAGAUUUUGUGCAUGUAAAAACUUUUGAGCUAUUCUCUCCACAGCUGUAACUGACAUCUGAUAGUGAGAAAACCACAACCCCUUAUCCUUCCUAUGCUAGUGCUGGGAUGAGACCUCCACGUUGAACCACUCUUCUCCCCAUGGGCACGAACACCAAUCCUUCCCCCAACUCCCACUCUGUAGAGAACCUUUCUCAAGCUGGGGUGGGGGCCACUGCCAGCCCCCCACUUGAACAUCCUCUGACUUCUUGAGUUGAAAACGAUUGCUUGGUCCUUGCACCCCCGCCUCCCUGAGCUCCACCCCCACUCACAGCCUGGUGAAACUGGUGCACAGCCCAACAGCGUUUGGAUCCCACCCUACUGGGCAUCACUGCAUCCUGGUAAGGUCCGGGGGUCGGCGACAUUCCACUGUGGAGACCUAGAGGUUUCAACACAUGCCAACUCAGCUCACCAUGGACUGCAUGGACCUUGGGGUUAGCAAGGGUUCUGAGGCUCAGUCGAAGCUCAGGGGGAAAACAAGUUGUGGUAAAUCGGUGAAGUCAGACCUAGAAACAAGACUGAGAACUGCGGGUGCCUCCCAUUUCUUGGUUUAUUUUUAUAAUAAAUCACUUACC